rnacentral:lncRNA from 1 species
CCUCACUGCAGUUAAAAGGAGAAAUCAAACUGGUGUCUGUUGUAUGAGGCGAUAAGAGUUUUUAAUCAGACACACAGCUUAUUUAUUUUUUUCAGAAAUAUAGGAGGGAAGGAUCCUUCUAGAGAAAUGUUACUGCAAUAACCUUGACACUAAUUACUAAAUAUUAAACGAACAUUUUAAUAUUAAGAGUGCAAUAGAAAUGUGCAGCUGGUUAUACCUGGGUGAAAUGUCCUCUACAUUCUAUGACUGUUUGUUAUACAUCUCCUAGCAAAGAUGACACUCCUGGUAUGAUAUUUACCAAGCUUGAGAAAUUUCUCAGGAAUAAAGAAGAUGCGUGCAUUGAAUUGAAAAAUGGGAAAAAAUAUGGAACUAUCACAAAAGCCCAGGACAAAUUACCAGAGCAAGUUGGGAGAUUCCAGUCCUCUCUGUUGGGCAUAUUGGCAAGAAGUUGGCACUCUCAUCAAAGAAUCCUCCUGGAGAUCGUAUGGCUGUGUUUCCUCUCACCUGGCAGAGCUGCGAGUCUGCUUUCUGGGAAUCCUGUGGGACCUAAGACUGUCCUUCAGAUGUCUAAAUCCAUUUUGAUAAAAUAAUGCAGAAAUAAACC